UUUUAAGAAGAUAUCACGUUAAAAUCACCUGACUAUGCCUCAUCUUAUCCGAUUGUUAGAAGCUGAGAGGGUUAAGCCUGGUUAGCACUUGAAUGGGAAACUGCCUGUGAAUAUCAGGUGUUGUAGGUU
rnacentral:rRNA from 1 species